UACGGAGGAUCCGAGCGUUAUCCGGAUUUAUUGGGCUUAAAGGGCGCGUAGGCGGACGGUUAAGUCAGCUGUGAAAGCUUACGGCUCAACCGUGAAAUAGCAUUUGAUACUGUUGGUCUUGAGUAUUCAUGAGGUGGGCGGAAUUUGACGUGUAGCGGUGAAAUGCGUAGAUAUCACAAAGAAUUCCGAUUGCGAAGGCAGCUCACUGGGGGAUAACUGACGCUGAUGUGCGAAAGUGUGGGGAGCAAACAGG
rnacentral:rRNA from 1 species